rnacentral:rRNA from 1 species
AGCGGCGGAUGGGUGAGUAACACGUGGGGAACCUGCCCCUAAGUCUGGGAUACCAUUUGGAAACAGGUGCUAAUACCGGAUAAUAAAGCAGAUCGCACGAUCAGCUUUCGAAAGGCGGCGUAAGCUGUCGCUAAGGGAUGGCCCCGCGGUGCAUUAGCUAGUUGGUAAGGUAACGGCUUACCAAGGCGACGAUGCAUAGCCGAGCUGAGAGACUGAUCGGCCACAUUGGGACUGAGACACGGCCCAAACUCCUACGGGAGGCAGCAGUAGGGAAUCUUCCACAAUGGACGCAAGUCUGAUGGAGCAACGCCGCGUGAGUGAAGAAGGUUUUCGGAUCGUAAAGCUCUGUUGUUGGUGAAGAAGGAUAGAGGUAGUAACUGGCCUUUAUUUGACGGUAAUCAACCAGAAAGUCACGGCUAACUACGUGCCAGCAGCCGCGGUAAUACGUAGGUGGCAAGCGUUGUCCGGAUUUAUUGGGCGUAAAGCGAGCGCAGGCGGAAAAAUAAGUCUAAUGUGAAAGCCCUCGGCUUAACCGAGGAACUGCAUCGGAAACUGUUUUUCUUGAGUGCAGAAGAGGAGAGUGGAACUCCACGUGUAGCGGUGGAAUGCGUAGAUAUAUGGAAGAACACCAGUGGCGAAGGCGGCUCUCUGGUCUGCAACUGACGCUGAGGCUCGAAAGCAUGGGUAGCGAACAGGAUUAGAUACCCUGGUAGUCCAUGCCGUAAACGAUGAGUGCUAAGUGU